rnacentral:lncRNA from 1 species
UACAUCUAAAGGCUGGUGGUGGACUGUCUCUGGAUGGCUAGAGUUCUUUCUCUGCUAGCUUUUUGCUCUCUUUUCCUUUUCCUACAAAUGCCUGCCCACUCUGGCUCACUCAGAAUCCCAGCUCUGUCUUGUCAACUGAGAGAGAUGGCUAGGAUCUGCUUAGCUUCUCCCUCCCUACAUUGCAGCCUGCAAACUUUCUGCAUGUGGCAAGACUGGGCAGUUGCGAAGUUGAUCGUGUUUGCUUCCCGUUGCGCUGAGAUCACUCUCUUUCACUAUCUGAUUUCCAAUGUCUUGAGACACAUUCAGAAAAUAGAAUUUGGAAGGUAUUUAUGGAAGAGGAAAGUGGAGAAUGAAGAAUGGGAAACAGCAAGUGGUUAAUAUUAAGACACAUAUGGAGAACUUACACCAUAUGAGACACAUCCAUUGGCACUCUAGACCACCUACAGAAUUACAGAUGGGAGUCUCAUGAUCUUUAUACUUCAUCAAAUAGUUCAUACUCUCUGCCCAGGUCUUAUCUGUGUUUUCUUAGAAGAACACAAAAAUGUAAUAUGACUCUACCAUCAAAAAAUGUGUCAAUAAAACUUAAACACAGU